rnacentral:misc_RNA from 1 species
AAUUUGGGGUCAACGAGCAGACUUUCAUCAAUCGACAGUUGAGGCGCCGUUAUAGAACCAUUUUGAGUGACUGCCGCCGGUUCUACCUCGACGGAACUNNNNGCUCAUUUUCUGCUUCUCGUCCUCUGUUCUUGUCACUGCAGCCGCUGCCGCCGCCGCCGCCACUCAUGUUGCAAACUUAGCAGCCUCAAAUUAUUCCCGAAUUCCUCAUUUCUUUCCAGUCUCUUCCUCUUUUAUUAUCUCUCUAUAUUUCCACAAUCAAAAUCAUAAUCCUAAAUUCCGCAAGGUGAACUAAUAAUCAGCAUUUACUCAUCAGACCAAAAAAUUGAUUCGUUUUGAUAUAGAGCUUUGCUUUCGCUAUAAAUUUC